rnacentral:rRNA from 1 species
UACGAAGGGGGCAAGCGUUGUUCGGAAUUACUGGGCGUAAAGAGUGUGUAGGCGGUGCUCUAAGUUCGGUGUGAAAUCUCCCGGCUUAACUGGGAGGGUGCGCCGGAAACUGGAGUGCUCGAGCGUGGGAGAGGAAAGCGGAAUUCCUGGUGUAGCGGUGGAAUGCGUAGAUAUCAGGAGGAACACCUGCGGUGUAGACGGCUUUCUGGACCAUUGCUGACGCUGAGACACGAAAGCGUGGGUAGCAAACAGG